AGCAUGUUAGCUCAGGGGAAGAGCGCCGGGCUCAUAACCCGGAGGUAUGUCAAUUUUAUCAUACUCUGGCAGUUUUCAAAACUUAUUAGCUUACAAAUUACACCAGGUCCCUGGAUCGAAACCAGGACAUGCUA